GAAAGACCCCGUGAACCUUUACUACAACUUUACAUUGGCUUUAGCUGUAUCAUGUGUAGGAUAGGCGGGAGACUUAGAAGCGGCGUCGCCAGGCGUUGUGGAGUCACCCUUGAAAUACCGCCCUUGAUACAGGUGAAGUCUAACCCUGAAAGGGGAACAGUGUAUGGUGGGUAGUUUGACUGGGGCGAUCGCCUCCUAAAAGGUAACGGAG
rnacentral:rRNA from 1 species